AUCAGGUGGUAUAUUUCCUUUGUUGUAUUUUCCAGUGAGAACGCCCGAAGCCAGUGGACUCCAUGUUGUUAGACCUAAGCCAUAGUUGGUGUACAGAGGGAGAAACUCGGCCUCCACCUUAUGCCGAGAUAACAAAUUGUACUCCGGCUGCUCCACAAUCGGCCCAACCAAAUCCAAUCUCUCAGCGAUCCCCCAAGCCUCAGUGAUCUGCUGAGCCGACCACUCACUAGUUCCCCAAUAG
rnacentral:misc_RNA from 1 species